rnacentral:rRNA from 1 species
UGGGGAAUCUUGGACAAUGGGGGCAACCCUGAUCCAGCCAUGCCGCGUGAGUGAUGAAGGCCUUAGGGUCGUAAAGCUCUUUCGCCUGUGAAGAUAAUGACGGUAGCAGGUAAAGAAACCCCGGCUAACUCCGUGCCAGCAGCCGCGGUAAUACGGAGGGGGUUAGCGUUGUUCGGAAUUACUGGGCGUAAAGCGCACGUAGGCGGACCAGAAAGUUGGGGGUGAAAUCCCGGGGGCUCAACCCCGGAACUGCCUCCAAAACUAUUGGUCUAGAGUUCGAGAGAGGUGAGUGGAAUUCCAAGUGUAGAGGUGAAAUUCGUAGAUAUUUGGAGGAACACCAGUGGCGAAGGCGGCUCACUGGCUCGAUACUGACGCUGAGGUGCGAAAGUGUGGGGAGCAAACAGGAUUAGAUACCCUGGUAGUCCACAACCGUAAAACGAUGAAUGCCAGUCGUCGGGUAGCAUGCUAUUCGGUGACACACCUAACGGAUUAAGCAUUCCGCCUGGGGAGUACGGUCGCAAGAUUAAAACUC